GACGAACGCUGGCGGCGUGCCUAAUACAUGCAAGUAGAACGCUGAAGCUUGGUGCUUGCACCGAGCGGAUGAGUUGCGAACGGGUGAGUAACGCGUAGGUAACCUGCCUGGUAGCGGGGGAUAACUAUUGGAAACGAUAGCUAAUACCGCAUAACAGUAGAUAUCGCAUGAUAGCUACUUGAAAGGUGCAAAUGCACCACUACCAGAUGGACCUGCGUUGUAUUAGCUAGUUGGUGAGGUAACGGCUCACCAAGGCAACGAUACAUAGCCGACCUGAGAGGGUGAUCGGCCACACUGGGACUGAGACACGGCCCAGACUCCUACGGGAGGCAGCAGUAGGGAAUCUUCGGCAAUGGACGGAAGUCUGACCGAGCAACGCCGCGUGAGUGAAGAAGGUUUUCGGAUCGUAAAGCUCUGUUGUAAGAGAAGAACGAGUGUGAGAGUGGAAAGUUCACACUGUGACGGUAUCUUACCAGAAAGGGACGGCUAACUACGU
rnacentral:rRNA from 1 species